rnacentral:rRNA from 1 species
UACGGGGGGAGCAAGCGUUGUUCGGAUUUACUGGGCGUAAAGGGCGCGUAGGCGGUCGUGACAAGUCACUUGUGAAAUCUCCGGGCUUAACUCGGAACGGUCAAGUGAUACUGUCGGACUAGAGUACAGAAGGGGCAACUGGAAUUCUCGGUGUAGCGGUGAAAUGCGCAGAUAUCAGGAGGAACACCGGUGGCGAAGGCGGAUCUCUGGGCCUUACCUGACGCUCAGGCGCGAAAGCUAGGGGAGCGAACUGG